UACGGGGGGGGCAAGCGUUGUUCGGAAUUACUGGGCGUAAAGGGCUCGUAGGUGGCCAACUAAGUCAGACGUGAAAUCCCUCGGCUUAACCGGGGAACUGCGUCUGAUACUGGAUGGCUUGAGGUUGGGAGAGGGAUGCGGAAUUCCAGGUGUAGCGGUGAAAUGCGUAGAUAUCUGGAGGAACACCGGUGGCGAAGGCGGGACUCUGGGCCGAUACUGACGCUGAGGAGCGAAAGCGUGGGGAGCAAACAGG
rnacentral:rRNA from 1 species